AACGAACGCUGGCGGCAGGCUUAACACAUGCAAGUCGAACGCACCGCAAGGUGAGUGGCAGACGGGUGAGUAACACGUGGGGAUCUGCCCAAUGGUACGGAAUAGCUCCGGGAAACUGGAAUUAAUACCGUAUGUGCCCUUCGGGGGAAAGAUUUAUCGCCAUUGGAUGAACCCGCGUCGGAUUAGCUAGCUGGUGAAGUAAAGGCUCACCAAGGCGACGAUCCGUAGCUGGUCUGAGAGGAUGAUCAGCCACACUGGGACUGAGACACGGCCCAGACUCCGACGGGAGGCAGCAGUGGGGAAUAUUGGACAAUGGGCGCAAGCCUGAUCCAGCCAUGCCGCGUGAGUGAUGAAGGCCUUAGGGUUGUAAAGCUCUUUCGCCGACGAAGAUAAUGACGGUAGUCGGAGAAGAAGCCCCGGCUAACUUCGUGCCAGCCGCCGCAGUAAAAC
rnacentral:rRNA from 1 species